UUUAGGAAUAUUCGUCAAUGGGGGAAACCCUGAACGAGCAAUGCCGCGUGAGUGAUGACGGUCCUCUGGAUUGUAAAACUCUGUUGUUUGGAAGAACUGUAAGAAGAGGAAAUGCUUCUUACUUGACGGUACCAUUCAAGAAAGCCACGGCUAACUACGUGCCAGCAGCCGCGGUAAUACGUAGGUGGCGAGCGUUAUCCGGAUUUAUUGGGCGUAAAGCGUCCGCAGCCGGUUUAUAAGUCUAGAAUAAAGCCUGGAGCUUAACUCCAGUUCGUUCUAGAAACUGAUAUACUUGAGUGUAGUAGAGGCAAAUGGAAUUUCUAGUGUAGC
rnacentral:rRNA from 1 species